rnacentral:rRNA from 1 species
GUAGGGUGCGAGCGUUGUCCGGAAUUAUUGGGCGUAAAGAGCUCGUAGGCGGUGUGUCACGUCGGCCGUGAAAACCUGGGGCUUAACUCUGGGCGUGCGGUCGAUACGGGCAUCACUAGAGUUCGGCAGGGGAGACUGGAAUUCCUGGUGUAGCGGUGAAAUGCGCAGAUAUCAGGAGGAACACCGGUGGCGAAGGCGGGUCUCUGGGCAUGUCCUGACGCUGAGGAGCGAAAGUGUGGGGAGCGAACAGG